rnacentral:rRNA from 1 species
GAUGAAGCAGCUUGCCGCCCGCCGCGGAAUAUCCCCUUUUCGCAUCGGAAGUCCCGUAUACGAUACGCCCCACCUGCGCCCAAGCAGCAGCUCCCGCACACAUCACGCAGGGUUCAACGGUCACAUAAAGCGUACAUUCGUUCAGGUAUUUCCCCCCUGCGGCAUGCAUGGCUGCCGUCAGGGCCUGCAUCUCGGCAUGCGCCGUAGAGUCACGGAGCGUUUCGACGAGGUUAUGCCCCCGGCCCACUAUCCGGCCCGAUGCCACGACCACGGCGCCGAUAGGCACCUCUUCCUCACUUAACGCUUUACGCGCCUCGGAAAUUGCCGCACGCAUAAAAAAUUCAUCCUCCUGCCGUCCCUUCUCCAUGAAAUUUCGUACUUUUGAAACCCCGCAAAUGUAGUAUAAACGGUCGUGCGGCGCAACAGCCGCACGCAGCAAAACGCAAUCCGGCGUUUUAUACUGAUGAUGCAGGGCCACUAAAAAUUCCAUAAUAUGUACAGGACGCAUACGUGCGGAGAACUCCGCAUCGACAAUACCGGCACGGGCACGACACUCGCCGGAUGGGUACAGAAAGUGAGAAACCUCGGCGCAAUGACCUUCAUCGACAUCCGUGACCGCUACGGCAUCACGCAAUUGGUAGUCGACGAGCACUCGCCCGCCGAGCUGAAAGAGACCGCCGACAAACUGGGCCGCGAGUUCGUGAUCCAGGCGACCGGCAAAGUGGUGGAACGGGCUUCGAAGAAUACGAAAAUCCCCACCGGUGAAGUCGAAGUGGUUCUCGAUUCGCUGAAAGUCCUGAACGCUGCGCAGACACCGCCCUUCACGAUCGAAGACAACAGCGACGGCGGCGAUGACCUGCGGAUAGGGGUGAAAGGCCAAUCAAACCCGGAGAUAUCUCGUUCUCCCCGAAAUAGCUUUAGGGCUAGCGUCGCGCGUUCACCGCCGGAGGUAGAGCACCGGAUGGACGAGGGGGCUUCGCCGCCUACCGAAUCCAACCGAACUCCGAAUGCCGGCGGCCCAGAGCGCGGCAGUCAGAGCAUGUGGGCUAAGCUGUGUGCUCGAGAGGGAAACAGCCCGGACCGCCCGCUAAGGUCCCCAAGUUCCAGCCGAGUGGCAAAGGAUGUGCGUCCGCCCAGACAACCAGGAUGUUGGCUUAGAAGCAGCCAUCCAUUCAAAGAGUGCGUAACAGCUCACUGGUCGAGUGGACAUGCGCCGACAAUACACGGGGCUAAGCUGGACACCGAAGCGGCGGGAUUUUAAUUCAUUAGAAUCGGUAGGGGAGCUUCCCAUGGGCGGAGAAGCCGGAGGGCGACCGACGGUGGAGCGCAUGGGAGUGAGAAUGCUGGCAUGAGUAGCGAGAGACGAGAGAGUAACUCGUCCGCCGUGAACCCGAGGUUUCCUGGGCAAGGCUAAUCCUCCCAGGGUCAGUCGGGGGCUAAGGCGAGGCCGGGAGGCGUAGCCGACGCGCAGCAGGCAGACAUUCCUGCACCGCGCACGCGGCGCUACGACCGACGGGGCGACGGAUGGGGGUGGCUCGGCGGGGUUCUGGACGUCCCCGUGAUGGAGCGCGGCCCGCGGACCAGGGAAAUCCGGUCCGCACGAGGGCGAGGCUCCGGACGAAGCGACUGAGCGAAGCGAGUGAGCCCGAGGUCCCUAGAAAAACCCCUAGGCAGGCGCGUGCGCGCCCGUACCGCAAACCGACACAGGUGGGUGGGUAGAACAUACCGAGGCGAUCGGGUCAACCAUGGUCAAGGAACUCGGCACAAUGGCCCCGUAACUUCGGGAGAAGGGGUGCCCGCGCGUACGUGAACCGGCUUGCCCGGGGAGCGGAGGCGGGCCGCAGUGGAGAGGCCCAAGCGACUGUUUACCAAAAACACAGGACUCUGCAGAAGCCGCAAGGCGACGUAUAGGGUCUGACGCCUGCCCGGUGCCGGAAGGUCACGCGGAGGAGUUAGCGCAUCGCGCGAAGCCCCGAAGCCAAGCCCCGGUAAACGGCGGCCGUAACUAUAACGGUCCUAAGGUAGCGAAAUUCCUUGUCGGGUAAGUUCCGACCUGCACGAAAGGCGCAACGACUUGGGCGCUGUCUCGACCAUGGACCCGGUGAAAUUGCACUGGUCGUGAAGAUGCGACUUACCCGCGGAAGGACGGAAAGACCCCGUGAACCUUCACUGCAGCUUGGCAUUGGCCGCUGGUCCCGCGUGUAGAGGAUAGGCAGGAGGCACAGAUCCGGAGGCGCCAGCCCCCGGGGAGCCGCCCUUGGAAUACUGCCCUCGCGCGACCGGCGUCCUAACCCGAGGCCGUCAACCGGCUCGGGGACCGUGCCAGGCGGGCAGUUUGACUGGGGCGGUCGCCUCCUAAAGGGUAACGGAGGCGCGCGAAGGUCCGCUCGGGACGGUCGGCAACCGUCCUUUUGAAUGCAAGAGUACAAGCGGGCUUGACUGCGAGGCCCACAAGCCGAGCAGGUGCGAAAGCAGGCUCUAGUGAUCCGGCGGCCCCGAGUGGGUGGGCCGUCGCUCAACGGAUAAAAGGUACUCCGGGGAUAACAGGCUGAUCUUGCCCAAGAGUCCACAUCGACGGCAAGGUUUGGCACCUCGAUGUCGGCUCAUCGCAUCCUGGGGCUGGAGCAGGUCCCAAGGGUACGGCUGUUCGCCGUUUAAAGCGGUACGCGAGCUGGGUUCAGAACGUCGUGAGACAGUUCGGUCCCUAUCCUCCGUGGGCGCAGGAGAAUCGAUGGAGGCUGCCCCCAGUACGAGAGGACCGGGGUGGACGCACCUCCGGUGAACCGGUUGUCGACCAACGGCACGGCCGGGUAGCCGCGUGCGGCGCGGAUAACCGCUGAAGGCAUCUAAGCGGGAAGCCGUUCCAGGGAUUAGUUCUCCUUCCGGUAAGGGCCCAGGUAGACUACCUGGUCGAUAGACGGCAGGUGCAAGGGCGGCGACGUCCUCAGCCGAGCCGCACUAAUCGCCCGAGCUCUUCCGGAA